rnacentral:pre_miRNA from 1 species
AGCCUUCUGUGUUGAGACUUCGUCACACACUAGACCACAAUGGCUGAUGAGACUUUCAAGGUAAGUAAAGCG